GCGUAUUAGCUCAGUUGGAUAGAGCGUAGCCUUCGCAAGGCUUAGGUCGCGGGUUCGACUCCCGCAUACGGACA
rnacentral:tRNA from 1 species